GUCAGCCGCCGCGGUAACACCGGCGGCCGAGUGGUGAUCGUGAUUAUUGGGUCUAAAGGGUCCGUAGCCGGUUUGGUCAGUCCUCCGGGAAAUCUGAUAGCUCAACUAUUAGGCUUUCGGGGGAUACUGCCAGACUUGGAACCGGGAGAGGUAAGAGGUACUACAGGGGUAGGAGUGAAAUCUUGUAAUCCCUGUGGGACCACCUGUGGCGAAGGCGUCUUACCAGAACGGGUUCGACGGUGAGGGACGAAAGCUGGGGGCACGAACCGGAUUAGAUACCCGGGUAGUCCCAGCCGUAAACGAUGCUCGCUAGGUGUCAGGCAUGGCGCGACCGUGUCUGGUGCCGCAGGGAAGCCGUGAAGCGAGCCACCUGGGAAGUACGGCCGCAAGGCUGAAACUUAAAGGAAUUGGCGGGGGAGCACAACAACGGGUGGAGCCCUGCGGUUUAAUUGGACUCAACGCCGGACAACUCACCGGGGGCGACAGCAAUAUGUAGGCCAAGCUGAAGACUUUGCCUGAAUCGCUGAGAAGAGGUGCAUGG
rnacentral:rRNA from 1 species